CCCGGCUCUGCCCUCCCUUCGAAGGUCCAGGGUCCCUGCCCGCUAGGACUGAGGGGCUUUUUCUCUCUGUGCCCCAGGCAAGUUGCACUCAUGGCACCUCCAAGUGAAGAGACGCCCCUGAUCCCUCAGCGUUCAUGCAGCCUCUUGUCCACGGAGGCUGGUGCCCUGCAUGUGCUGCUGCCCGCUCGGGGCCCCGGGCCCCCCCAGCGCCUAUCUUUCUCCUUUGGGGACCACUUGGCUGAGGACCUGUGCGUGCAGGCUGCCAAGGCCAGCGGCAUCCUGCCUGUGUACCACUCCCUCUUUGCUCUGGCCACGGAGGACCUGUCCUGCUGGUUCCCCCCGAGCCACAUCUUCUCCGUGGAGGAUGCCAGCACCCAAGUCCUGCUCUACAGGAUUCGCUUUUACUUCCCCAAUUGGUUUGGGCUGGAGAAGUGCCACCGCUUCGGGCUACGCAAGGAUUUGGCCAGUGCUAUCCUUGACCUGCCAGUCCUGGAGCACCUCUUUGCCCAGCACCGCAGUGACCUGGUGAGUGGGCGCCUCCCCAUGGGCCUCAGUCUCAAGGAGCAGGGUGAGUGUCUCAGCCUGGCCGUGUUGGACCUGGCCCGGAUGGCGCGAGAGCAGGCCCAGCGGCCGGGAGAGCUGCUGAAGACUGUCAGCUACAAGGCCUGCCUACCCCCAAGCCUGCGCGACCUGAUCCAGGGCCUGAGCUUCGUGACGCGGAGGCGUAUUCGGAGGACGGUGCGCAGAGCCCUGCGCCGCGUGGCCGCCUGCCAGGCAGACCGGCACUCGCUCAUGGCCAAGUACAUCAUGGACCUGGAGCGGCUGGAUCCAGCCGGGGCCGCCGAGACCUUCCACGUGGGCCUCCCUGGGGCCCUUGGUGGCCACGACGGGCUGGGGCUGCUCCGCGUGGCUGGUGACGGCGGCAUCGCCUGGACCCAGGGAGAACAGGAGGUCCUCCAGCCCUUCUGCGACUUUCCAGAAAUCGUAGACAUUAGCAUCAAGCAGGCCCCGCGCGUUGGCCCGGCCGGAGAGCACCGCCUGGUCACUGUUACCAGGACAGACAACCAGAUUUUAGAGGCCGAGUUCCCAGGGCUGCCCGAGGCUCUGUCGUUCGUGGCGCUCGUGGACGGCUACUUCCGGCUGACCACGGACUCCCAGCACUUCUUCUGCAAGGAGGUGGCACCGCCGAGGCUGCUGGAGGAAGUGGCCGAGCAGUGCCACGGCCCCAUCACUCUGGACUUUGCCAUCAACAAGCUCAAGACUGGGGGCUCACAUCCUGGCUCCUAUGUUCUCCGCCGCAGCCCCCAGGACUUUGACAGCUUCCUCCUCACUGUCUGUGUCCAGACCCCCCUUGGUCCUGAUUAUAAGGGCUGCCUCAUCCGGCGCAGCCCCACAGGAACCUUCCUUCUGGUUGGCCUCAGCCGACCCCACAGCAGUCUUCGAGAGCUCCUGGCAACCUGCUGGGAUGGGGGGCUGCACGUAGAUGGGGUGGCAGUGACCCUCACUUCCUGCUGUAUCCCCAGACCCAAAGAAAAGUCCAACCUGAUCGUGGUCCAGAGAGGUCACAGCCCACCCACAUCAUCCUUGGUUCAGCCCCAAUCCCAAUACCAGCUGAGUCAGAUGACAUUUCACAAGAUCCCUGCUGACAGCCUGGAGUGGCAUGAGAACCUGGGCCAUGGGUCCUUCACCAAGAUUUACCGGGGCUGUCGCCAUGAGGUGGUGGAUGGGGAGGCCCGAAAGACAGAGGUGCUGCUGAAGGUGAUGGAUGCCAAGCACAAGAACUGCAUGGAGUCAUUCCUGGAAGCAGCGAGCUUGAUGAGCCAAGUGUCGUACCGGCAUCUCGUGCUGCUCCACGGCGUGUGCAUGGCUGGAGACAGUGAGAGCCCCCCACCCAUCCACCCCACCCCUGCCUCACCCAAGUCCAGGCUGUUCUUCCCACCUCUGUUCUGAGCCGCUAUAUGACAGCACCAGCAACACACUGGGCCACCCUGGAUGGGAGCCGUGUUCAUUACCCUUUAUUUAUGUCUCUCCAUCAUCACUCCUUGGAAAGCGGCUCCAGGUUCCCACCCAUAUCCAGCCCCAGAAUGACCUGAAGUCAGACAAACCUGGCUUUCUAAUCUCUGCAGCUUUGUACGGGUCACAUAACCUUUCUGAGCCUUGGUUUCAUUGGUUGGGAGUCCAGGAUGGGCCAGGAGCUGGGGACAGAGCCUAGAAUGUGACAGGCAGGGUGUGAUGAGGUGUGAGGAGGGCAGCACGGAGCACUGUGGAUGGUCAGAGAGGCAUUCCUGGCAGAGGGAACAGCAUGCCAAGCGUGAGAAGGCUCAGAGUAAGGAAGUUAAGAGCCCAAGUAUUGGAGCCUACAGUUUUGCCCCUUCCAUGCAGUGUGACAGUGGGCAAGUUCCUUUCCCUCUCUGGGUCUCAGUUCUGUCCCCUGCAAAAUGGUCAGAGCUUACCCCUUGGCUGUGCAGGGUCAACUUUCUGACUGGUGAGAGGGAUUCUCUGCAGGUUAAGCUUCUGCUGCUCCUCCUCACCUGCAAAGCUUUUCUGCCACUUUUGCCUCCUUGGAAAACUCUUAUCCAUCUCUCAAAACUCCAGCUACCACAUCCUUGCAGCCUUCCCUCAUAUACCCCCACUACUACUGUAGCCCUGUCCUUCCCUCCAGCCCCACUCUGGCCCUGGGGCUGGGGAAGUGUCUGUGUCCAGCUGUCUCCCCUGACCUCAGGGUUCCUUGGGGGCUGGGCUGAGGCCUCAGUACAGAGGGGGCUCUGGAAGUGUUUGUUGACUGAAUAAAGGAAUUCAGUGGAAAAGA
rnacentral:sRNA from 1 species